rnacentral:tRNA from 1 species
AGUAGCUCAGUCGGUUAGAGCAUCUGACUGUUAAUCAGAGGGUCGUUGGUUCAAGUCCAAC